rnacentral:rRNA from 1 species
GCAACGAUACAUGGGGGGACUGAGAGGUUAACCCCCCACACUGGUACUGAGACACGGACCAGACUCCUACGGGAGGCAGCAGUGAGGAAUAUUGGUCAAUGGACGCAAGUCUGAACCAGCCAUGCCGCGUGCAGGAAGACGGCUCUAUGAGUUGUAAACUGCUUUUGUACGAGGGUAAACUCACCUACGUGUAGGUGACUGAAAGUAUCGUACGAAUAAGGAUCGGCUAACUCCGUGCCAGCAGCCGCGGUAAUACGGAGGAUUCAAGCGUUAUCCGGAUUUAUUGGGUUUAAAGGGUGCGUAGGCGGUUUGAUAAGUUAGAGGUGAAAUCCCGGGGCUUAACUCCGGAACUGCCUCUAAUACUGUUAGACUAGAGAGUAGUUGCGGUAGGCGGAAUGUAUGGUGUAGCGGUGAAAUGCUUAGAGAUCAUACAGAACACCGAUUGCGAAGGCAGCUUACCAAACUAUAUCU